UACGGAGGGGGCAAGCGUUACUCGGAAUUAUUGGGCGUAAAGGGCGCGUGGGCGGUCGUGUGCGUCGAGGGUGAAAUCCCCGGGCUUAACCCGGGAGCUGCCUUCGAUACGGCACGGCGUGAGUCCGGGAGAGGGAUGUGGAAUUCCAGGUGUAGCGGUGAAAUGCGUAGAUAUCUGGAGGAACACCGGUGGCGAAGGCGACAUCCUGGACCGGUAUUGACGCUGAGGCGCGAAAGCCAGGGGAGCAAACGGG
rnacentral:rRNA from 1 species